UUCAGCAGAGAGGGCGUUCUUGAAGAGUAAGGAGAGUGACAGCUGCCACCGAGCCCUGCAUACCUAGGGCAUGCCGCUAAUAUUAUUAGUUGCGAGUGUUGUUGUUUGUCAUUCUUCGUGCGCCUACAGUGUUGCCUCUCCCCGCUUUCUUCAUCGGGUUCGCCCCUCGUAAUCGAAGGCCAGUCGCGUGGCAGCGAUAGAUCUCCACAACAGGCUAGCCAAAAAAAACCUCCGUCACUGAGCGUGAUGGCUCGGAUCAACGGGGUCUGGAUGAACGUCUCGGAAAAAUCCUUCCAAGUCCAUUGCUGGGGAUGUCCGUCGAUAAAGGGAUAUCCGCCCCAAUUCACGUUGUGAAAGCCAAACGAGCAACCUCGGCCUUCAGUGCAGUGGUUCGAACUCCGG
rnacentral:sRNA from 2 species